UGUAGCCAAGCUUUAAUUGUACGCUUGUUAACAAUGCCAUAGAUUUGACCAUUGUAUUAACUGAAACAUUAAUUAAUUGACCAUAACUGGCGUAUUUACCAUUCACAUGUCUCAGACGUCUGAUCUGCAUAAAAGAAAUACGAGGCGAAAUUAAUCUUUCAAAAA
rnacentral:lncRNA from 1 species